AUGAAUAUCAUAAGUUGGAACUGCCGGGGACGGGGGAAUACCCAGAUAGUUUGUGAAAUCGCGACGAUCUCUCAGUCGCACUCCCCCACUUUUGUGUUUCUUUGUGAGACUAGACAGAAAGCCGAGAAGAUGAGGAGGAUUCGAAGCAGACUUGGGCUGAAGGGUUUUGAGGGAGUGGUCAGUAGCGGUCUAAGUGGAGGGCUCGCUCUGUAUUGGCAUCAGGCAUGUGUAGUCGACAUUUUGGACAAGAACGAGCGGUACAUUGACGCUCUAGUUCGGUUAAAUGCAGGUUCAGAACAAUGGAGGCUAACAUGUGUUUAUGGGGAACCUCGAGUGGAACACAGACAUGCAAUGUGGACAAAGUUAAAACAUCUGAAAAGUGUCUGCAACAAACCGUGGUUGGUUGUAGGGGAUUUCAACGAGGCCUUGUGGAGUUUUGAACACUUGUCAAAUGGUUGCCUUCAGGGACACUUUGGAAAUAUGUGGACGGGUAGACUUGGGAUUCUCUGUGAGUCCAUUUACAUAUGA
rnacentral:rRNA from 1 species